UGUCAAUCGUGGCAACAGAUGACAGACAAGAUGCAAUGGAGCAACUUAUAGAGCACUACUUCCCAUGGACACUCCGUUUCAUUGCAAGAAGAAGUCAAGUUAUGGAACUGCGUUCAGAACCCACGACAAUCGAAAAACUGUUUGUUAGCAUCUGAAAUCUUUGCAUUUGGAAAGCAGGUGAUUUGGGCGCUGCGUACCCAUCCCGCAUGUCCCGUGAGUUUCCGUAGUGUAGUGGUUAUCACGUUCGCCUAACACGCGAAAGGUCCCCGGUUCGAAACCGGGCGGAAACAGCUUGAUGUCCCCUCCUGUUCGACUCAGACGCUCAAUGGUGGCUCACUUAAACCCGCCUUAAUACUGAGUUCAAGGAGCUGAUAGAAAUUUUGUUAUCAGAGGCCCUCCCAUAACAUACUAAUAACAUUCCCAAAUACCAUUUUAGCAGGCCCGGCUUAAAGGCAAGGAAUCCAUCACCUGUCCUUCUCUGUGUACACCAUCAAAUAGGGCUUGGAGGUAGAGAAAGGUGACAUGAAGGGGUAACAUGACUCCCAGUCAGAAUUUCUCAUCCCUUUUUUUCUUUUCUUUCUUGUUUUUUCCUCCGGCAGAUUGAGACCCUCUUUGCAUGCAAUGUCAUUCAUUUGACCUCCUCCUUUGUAGGAUGGAAGGCUGACAGUUUGUCAGCUGACCUGAGCUGGAGAGCGGGAUGAUCUCCUAGCCCCCGGUCUUUGUGGGCUUAAAAUCAGCUGCUGGAGCAAAGGAAUAAUCUCCCCGUCGGGGAAUCGAACCCCGGUCUUCCGCGUGACAGGCGGAGAUACUGUCCACUAUACUAACGAGGACUCACUUUCAGCGCGUGGAGCGCGGACAUCGCUGAGUUCCCCGCUUGGAAUGAACAGCCGCAACCAUGGCAGGGCGCACGGAAAUGAUGUCGAAGAGAGAGCUACAGUCGCAGCUGCAGCUUGCGGACUCCGUCCUAUGGACAGAUAGCACGGCUGUUCUUAAGAACAUCAACAAUGAAACAACUAGGUUCCGCACAUUCGUUGCCAACAGAGUGUCAGAAAUAAUGACAGUGUCAAUCGUGGCAACAGAUGACAGACAAGAUGCAAUGGAGCAACUUAUAGAGCACUACUUCCCAUGGACACCCCGUUUCAUUGCAAGAAGAAGUCAAGUUAUGGAACUGCGUUCAGAACCCACGACAAUCGAAAAACUGUUUGUUAGCAUCUGAAAUCUUGGCAUUUGGAAAGCAGGUGAUUUGGGCGCUGCGUACCCAUCCCGCAUGUCCCGUGAGUUUCCGUAGUGUAGUGGUUAUCACGUUCGCCUCACACGCGAAAGGUCCCCGGUUCGAAACCGGGCGGAAACAACUUGAUGUCCCCUCCUGUUUAACUCAGAUAUCAAUGGUGGCGCACUUAAACCCGCCUUAAUACUGAGUUCAAGGAGCUGAUAGAAAUUUUGUUAUCAGAGGCCCUCCCAUAACAUACUAAUAACAUUCCCAAAUACCAUUUUAGCAGGCCCGGCUUAAAGGCAAGGAAUCCAUCACCUGUCCUUCUCUGUGUACACCAUCAAAAAGGGCUUGGAGGUAGAGAAAGGUGACAUGAAGGGGUAACAUGACUCCCAGUCAGAAUUUCUCAUCCCUUUUUUUCUUUUCUUUCUUGUUUUUUCCUCCGGCAGAUUGAGACCCUCUUUGCAUGCAAUCUCAUUCAUUUGACCUCCUCCUUUGUAGGAUAGAAGGCUGACAGUUUGUCAGCUGACCUGGGCUGGAGAGCGGGUUGAUCUCCUAGCCCCCGGUCUUUGUGGGCUUAAAAUCAGCUGCUGGAGCAAAGGAAUAAUCUCCCCGUCGGGGAAUCGAACCCCGGUCUUCCGCGUGACAGGCGGAGAUACUGUCCACUAUACUAACGAGGACUCACUUUCAGCGCGUGGAGCGCGGACAUCGCUGAGUUCCCCGCUUGGAAUGAACAGCCGCAACCAUGGCAGGGCGCACGGAAAUGAUGUCGAAGAGAGAGCUACAGUCGCAGCUGCAGCUUGCGGACUCCGUCCUAUGGACAGAUAGCACGGCUGUUCUUAAGAACAUCAACAAUGAAACAACUAGGUUCCGCACAUUCGUUGCCAACAGAGUGUCAGAAAUAAUGACAGUGUCAAUCGUGGCAACAGAUGACAGACAAGAUGCAAUGGAGCAACUUAUAGAGCACUACUUCCCAUGGACACCCCGUUUCAUUGCAAGAAGAAGUCAAGUUAUGGAACUGCGUUCAGAACCCACGACAAUCGAAAAACUGUUUGUUAGCAUCUGAAAUCUUGGCAUUUGGAAAGCAGGUGAUUUGGGCGCUGCGUACCCUUCCCGCAUGUCCCGUGAGUUUCUGUAGUCUAGUGGUUAUCACGUUCGCCUCACACGCGAAAGGUCCCCGGUUCGAAACCGGGCGGCAACAGCUUGAUGUCCCCUCCUGUUCGACUCAGACGCUCAAUGGUGGCUCACUUAAACCCGCCUUAAUACUGAGUUCAAGGAGCUGAUAGAAAUUUUGUUAUCAGAGGCCCUCCCAUAACAUACUAAUAACAUUCCCAAAUACCAUUUUAGCAGGCCCGGCUUAAAGGCAAGGAAUCCAUCACCUGUCCUUCUCUGUGUACACCAUCAAAUAGGGCUUGGAGGUAGAGAAAGGUGACAUGAAGGGGUAACAUGACUCCCAGUCAGAAUUUCUCAUCCCUUUUUUCUUUUCUUUCUUGUUUUUUCCUCCGGCAGAUUGAGACCCUCUUUGCAUGCAAUCUCAUUCAUUUGACCUCCUCCUUUGUAGGAUGGAAGGCUGACAGUUUGUCAGCUGACCUGGGCAGGAGAGCGGGAUGAUCUCCUAGCCCCCGGUCUUUGUGGGCUUAAAAUCAGCUGCUGGAGCAAAGGAAUAAUCUCCCCGUCGGGGAAUCGAACCCCGGUCUUCCGCGUGACAGGCGGAGAUACUGUCCACUAUAGUAACGAGGACUCACGUGUUGCCACUUUCAGCGCGUGGAGCGCGGACAUCGCUGAGUUCCCCGCUUGGAAUGAACAGCCGCAACCAUGGCAGGGCGCACGGAAAUGAUGUCGAAGAGAGAGCUACAGUCGCAGCUGCAGCUUGCGGACUCCGUCCUAUGGACAGAUAGCACGGCUGUUCUUAAGAACAUCAACAAUGAAACAACUAGGUUCCGCACAUUCGUUGCCAACAGAGUGUCAGAAAUUAUGACAGUGUCAAUCGUGGCAACAGAUGACAGACAAGAUGCAAUGGAGCAACUUAUAGAGCACUACUUCCCAUGGACACUCCGUUUCAUUGCAAGAAGAAGUCAAGUUAUGGAACUGCGUUCAGAACCCACGACAAUCGAAAAACUGUUUGUUAGCAUCUGAAAUCUUGGCAUUUGGAAAGCAGGUGAUUUGGGCACUGCGUACCCUUCCCGCAUGUCCCGUGAGUUUCCGUAGUGUAGUGGUUAUCACGUUCGCCUCACACGCGAAAGGUCCCCGGUUCGAAACCGGGCGGAAACAGCUUGAUGUCCCCUCCUGUUCGACUCAGACGCUCAAUGGUGGCUCAUUUAAACCCGCCUUAAUACUGAGUUCAAGGAGCUGAUAGAAAUUUUGUUAUCAGAGGCCCUCCCAUAACAUACUAAUAACAUUCCCAAAUACCAUUUUAGCAGGCCCGGCUUAAAGGCAAGGAAUCCAUCACCUGUCCUUCUCUGUGUACACCAUCAAAUAGGGCUUGGAGGUAGAGAAAGGUGACAUGAAGGGGUAACAUGACUCCCAGUCAGAAUUUCUCAUCCCUUUUUUUCUUUUCUUUCUUGUUUUUUCCUCCGGCAGAUUGAGGUCCUCUUUGCAUGCAAUCUCAUUCAUUUGACCUCCUCCUUUGUAGGAUGGAAGGCUGACAGUUUGUCAGCUGACCUGGGCUGGACAGCGGGUUGAUCUCCUAGCCCCCGGUCUUUGUGGGCUUAAAAUCAGCUGCUGGAGCAAAGGAAUAAUCUCCCCGUCGGGGAAUCGAACCCGGUCUUCCGCAUGACAGGCGGAGAUACUGUCCACUAUAAUAACGAGGACUCACGUGUUGCCACUUUCAACGCGUGGAGCGCGGACAUUGCUGAGUUCCCCGCUUGGAAUGAACAGCCGCAACCAUGGCAGGGCGCACGGAAAUGAUGUCGAAGAGAGAGCUACAGUCGCAGCUGCAGCUUGCGGACUCCGUCCUAUGGACAGAUAGCACGGCUGUUCUUAAGAACAUCAACAAUGAAACAACUAGGUUCCGCACAUUCGUUGCCAACAGAGUGUCAGAAAUAAUGACAGUGUCAAUCGUGGCAACAGAUGACAGACAAGAUGCAAUGGAGCAACUUAUAGAGCACUACUUCCCAUGGACACUCCGUUUCAUUGCAAGAAGAAGUCAAGUUAUGGAACUGCGUUCAGAACCCAAGACAAUCGAAAAACUGUUUGUUAGCAUCUGAAAUCUUUGCAUUUGGAAAGCAGGUGAGUUGGGCACUGCGUACCCUUCCCGCAUGUCCCGUGAGUUUCCGUAGUGUAGUGGUUAUCACGUUCGCCUCACACGCGAAAGGUCCCCGGUUCGAAACCGGGCGGAAACAGCUUGAUGUCCCCUCCUGUUCGACUCAGACGCUCAAUGGUGGCUCAUUUAAACCCGCCUUAAUACUGAGUUCAAGGAGCUGAUAGAAAUUUUGUUAUCAGAGGCCCUCCCAUAACAUACUAAUAACAUUCCCAAAUACCAUUUUAGCAGGCCCGGCUUAAAGGCAAGGAAUCCAUCACCUGUCCUUCUCUGUGUACACCAUCAAAUAGGGCUUGGAGGUAGAGAAAGGUGACAUGAAGGGGUAACAUGACUCCCAGUCAGAAUUUCUCAUCCCUUUUUUUCUUUUCUUUCUUGUUUUUUCCUCCGGCAGAUUGAGGUCCUCUUUGCAUGCAAUCUCAUUCAUUUGACCUCCUCCUUUGUAGGAUGGAAGGCUGACAGUUUGUCAGCUGACCUGAGCUGGAGAGCGGGAUGAUCUCCUAGCCCCCGGUCUUUGUGGGCUUAAAAUCAGCUGCUGGAGCAAAGGAAUAAUCUCCCC